AUGAGAGUCGAUGGAACAGUGUGAGGAAGGAUACCAGAGAAUGGAGUUGGCUAGGAGUAUGCGGCAGCGCAGCGUGCUAAAGAGCGGUCAUCAGUCCGGUGCCAUAUGUGAUGGCUCCACGCACCAGAUCUCCAGUGCGCUUCCUCAGCCCGGUAUGUCCUGUGCCGGUUCCUCGCACUCGCCAUGAGGAGCGUGUCGCCAGUCCGCUGCCAAAGAAACCCCAAGAUUAUUUUUUGGGGGGGGUGGCACAUGGAGCUGGCGGUCAAGCAGCAGAGAGUGCCAGAGCCUGUUUGGGAGUUGGAGGAGAAGGAAUUUGAUGAAAGAUUCCGGGGAGAGCAGAUGGCAGCCCGACCUCCAUCCUCUUUAUUUCUGUCUUCUCUUCACGCAAAUGCCGGGGAUUUGGGCCUGUUCCUGGGAAAGCAGUAUGUCCUUCACAUCGGGUUCGUCGGACUCGUUAAAGGAAAUUUGUGGACUCUGGCCCAGUGUUCAUGUGCCCUGGCUGACUGUCUUGGGUAUAUGCCAAAUGUGAACAGAAAUUCUAUUUUAGUUUGUAAAUGGAGUCUCCUUGUUCUAAGGCAAGCUAUGGGCAACUCUGUCCAAAUCGUUAUCUGUAAAAACAUCAUAGAGGCCAAAUAGACAACACAAUAUGAGUUAGCUUUUCGUACGUUAAUGCUGCAUAAGUAGUGAUGUGAGUGUUUGUUUGAAAAUGGGUUCUUAACAUUGCAGCUACAAAUCCUAUAUGCAUACAUACUGGUGUUGAACUCCGCUCAACAUUUAUUUCCUUGUCCAUCAAUUUAUUUGGCUUAGCUAAUGUUAUUACAAGUUUAAAGUCAUUCAAAAAGAGCCAGAUUUGCUACUUAUUUUAUUGAUCUAUCUAUGCAUCACUUCCCCAUUGAAAUUCUCAUUUAUUAGAUUCUCACAGAAACUCAAGCUGCCAGCCAACAAACAAAAUGUACAUGAUUCCAGAUGAUGCUUAAUAUUUAUGGAACAAAACCAUUUACCAUGGAUUCUAUAAUUGGAUUUGUAAAUAGAAAGUUAAAGAGUCCAAUACAGGACAUUUCAUUAUAAAUGUUAUGCAUUUAGAUGGCUUUGUAUGUUACUGUAAACAUUACUACACAUUACAACAUAUUCCAGUGUGAUAACAUUUGCUUUGAGACACACAACUAUGACCUUUGGAUGGCAUUUUUUUAACAUUGUAUUUAUCCUUUAUUUACCUUAAUUUGACCACGGGACUGUUCCAACAAAAUCAGUAAUGACUUAUCAACGCCAUGGUAGCAAUGUAUGUGCCAAUUGUGCAAAUUAAAAAUGAAUACAAACAUUUAAUUAACUCUGUCUAUUUAUCAGUAUUUUCAGAGUCUGUGAAAGAUAUUGACCUUUUGAGGUAAGUCAUUCAACCUAGGUGCUCCAACAUUUACCUUUAGACUGAGGUAUAUGAGGUAUCUACCGGUGGCAAAGGAGUAGGACAUCUUAACACCUUUAAAAUAUUUAUGAAUCAAAACUCAGCCCUUUUGCACCACCACCAGCUAUUGCACUCAUAAUUCCCACUGUGAAAAUAGUACAAAAAAACAGACACCCCUAGACCUAUAGUGUUACUGCCAGCACUAAGACUUGCAAUAGCAUUAGGUUUGUUGAAAUAGGGUCCAUGGAGCGUCUGCCUUUGCAUUCAUGAGCAAUUACAGGACACAACUAAUCUCCAUAUGUGAUUUAUUUCAUAAACAAAGAAAAGUCUAUCAUCAUACCUCAGGUGUCACUUAUCUCCCAAGUCACAGCACAAAUCCUGCCUUCUCUGCCGUAAUACCCCCCCAACCCCCUGUUUUUUUGUGGUUGUUGAGAAAAGAGCUGUAAUUGGUCAAUUCUGAGAACUCCUGGGAGAACAAUAUGGUGUACUGUAGUAUGACAAUCAGUGCAAUUCACUAAUUAAUCAACAUAGCUUACAAAAUGAUUAGACCUAUUAUUACAACUUGAAAAUAUAAUAUGUGAACUGACACAAAAAUACAACUUUUUCACAUUAUAAUUACAUUUCAACUGAAAGUGUCACUUGACAACCUGCAGUAUUCCUCCUUUUCGUGCAUCCUCCGGUUUUGAAAUAGCUACGCAGAUCAGUGAAAUGCCAGCUUUCCUUUUGUCAGCUAUACUAGCUAGCUCGCUAGCUAGCCUUGGCUCUCACAAUUCACUCAUGUUGUUAAUAGUACUCAAACACAUUCUAACUUGGUAGCUAUGGGUUGCCUUCAAAAAACGCACUCAGUCACUCACCAACCAAACAAACAACAAUCUCAAAAAGCAGACAAAUCAAAAUAUUUGUUAAAAUAUCAGAAUAUCUAUCUUUUUCUGUACUGCCAGAUCAAAUUAGUUUAAUUCACUCAAACAGUGCACAAGUGCUGCCACUACUGUUGUCCCUGCUGAGUGAAUAACUCAAUUGGCUAGUAUUGCUGUCAGUAAAUAAAUGGGUGGGUGUAUGUUGAUUAUUCUGCAAUGAUUGCCACUUUUCUCCCUCCCUCCUCUCGAUCAGGCCCGCCUGUCAUUUUUCCAAAGACUAUUUCGGAGAUUUCCUUGGCAGAAGCACAAGGGAUAAAAUGUCUGUCCUUUUUUCUAGUACACUCUCAAAUCGAGCACUGUGUGUAAGAAGACCCUCACUGUCUUCUCACAAACUCCUCUCAAAUGCAACCUGAAUUUAUAGUAUCCACAAUGUUUAUAGUAUUUAAACAUUGAUGUCUCAAGUACAGGUAAAUUCAGAUCUGGCUAAUAGCUGCUAGCUAAAAACAUGCAUUAUUUAUAUUUCUAGAAUAGAAACAUAAACAUUUAAAGAAAGGCACAUAUUUCUGCUAAACAGAAGUGACACAGGUUAUGGUCAAAGUUUAUACAUGUCAGUAUGUCUGAAGGGGACAUAGUGAGUCAGGCAAAUGUGUCUUUCACGUCCUCAAUUUAAUACUAUUUCAUUCUCUUCAAUUAUGACAAAAUUUAAUAUGUUUGAAUAUACAGGAGGAUAUACAACAUGAUAUCAGAGGAAAAUGUACAGUACUUUGUAGUUAUAUAUGUCUUAAGGCCUCAUGUCUCUAAAUUAGCUAGUAUUUAAACAAUUCACAAGAAGGGUAUGCUGUGGUAUGAUGGUCACAUAAACAUGGUUAGCAGAUGUUAUUGCGAGUGUAGCAAAAUGCUUAUACCUCUAGAUCACACAGUGCCGCAGUAUCUAACAAUUCCACAACAAAACCUAAUAUCUAACAAAUUCCACAACAAAACCUAAUACACACAAUCUAGUAAAGGAAUGGGAUGAGAAUAUAUAAGUAUAAAUUAUAUGGAUGAGCAGUGACAGAGCGGCUAAGAUGCAAUAGAUAGUAAAGAAUAGAUAGUGAAGGAUACAGUAUACUGUCUAUGCAUAUGAGAUGAGUAAUGCGAGAUAUGCAAACAUUCUUAAAGUAGCAUUAUUAAAGUGACUGUUCCAUUUAUUAAAGUGGCCAAUGAGUCUGUAAUAGGUAGGCAGUCACCUCUCUGUGCUAGUGGUGGCUGUUUAACAAUCUGAUGGCUUUGACAUAGAGCCCGACAGGGUGCACUCAAUUGUGCACCUGUAAAAGUGUGUGAGGGUUUUCGGUGACAAGCCCAAUUUUUUCAGCCUCCUGAGGUUGAAGAGGCGCUGUUGCGCCUUCUUCGCCACACUGUCUGUGUGCGUGGACCAUUUCAGUUUGUCGGUGAUAUGUACACCGAGGAACUUAAAACUUUCCACCUACUCCACUCCUGUCCUGUCGACGUGGAUAGGAGGGUGCUCCCUUUGCUUUUUCCUGAAGUCCACAAUCAUCUCUUUUGUUUUGAAGACAUUGAGUGAGAGGUUAUUUUCCUGACACUACACGUCAAGUGGUAUAUGGAUGGAAUGCCCCUGUGUUGACUAAAAUGGCUGCACUUCAAAGACAUUUCUGUCAUUCAUGGUAUUAGACCUUUACCUGUUAGCGUUAAUCAGGGUAUUUUUCGGGGGCUAAAAUGGGUGAAGGUUAAGAACAAUAAACAUCUUCAAUGUCUUAUGAAGGGCACUAGAGAAGAGCCAUCCUGGUAAAACUACAGUAUAUUCAGGAGCAAUGACCUAGAUGGAAAGAUUAGAGCACAUGCAGUUAAACCUUUAAUCAGUACAUGGGAAGAGAAAAGAGAGACAGGAUAAACUGGAGAAGCUAGCUCUUCCUCAGGGGUCGAAGCCUUCAUCAGAUAGAACAGAAAACAAAUUACCAGAGGGAUAAACGGCUUCCUCCCCUGAGACAGAAUGGUAACAAUCUAGAUUAAGGAUCUUAUAUAUACAGAUCGAUACAUCCCUCAACAAACUAUUGGCGAGCCAUUAAUACUUAAUGAGAUCCUUUGAUGAGUAGGUUGACGACUCCCUUAGCGAUCUAUAAACAUAAGUAGAUGUCUGUGAUGUCUGUGUAUCUGGCAGCUGGAAACGCUGUCUAUGCUAUAGUGAUUGACUGAAACAUCUUGAUUUGUAUCUGUUUACACAAUUGGCCUAUGCGUAAAUCCUGGACUAUAAAUCUGUAAUGCUGAUUUUAAGGGACCUAGGAUACCAUAAUAUAUUUUCCUUAUGAACAAUAUUUAAUCUAUAGUCAAUUCUCAUUCUGACAAUAAUCGAAUGUAAUAGUGAAUGUGGAGGAAUUACUAAUAUAUUUAUUUAUUUAAACUUUUUUGGUUAAUACAGGCAUAGAUGAGGUUCACAUACAGUGCAUUCCAAAAGUAUUCACACCCUUGACAUCUUCCACAUUUUAUUUGUUACAGCCUGAAUUUAAAAUGUAUUAAACUGAGAUUUUGUGUCACUGGUCUACACACAAUACCACAUAAUGUCAAAGUGUAAUUAUGUUUUGGCCAUUACACACAUCACACUUCCAUGUUGUCUCAGUACUGCUACUUUGCAUUUAACAAAUUUACCAACGUCUUAGUUGUGUACACGCGCAACUUUUUUCAUUGCGUUUUUUUCACCCCGGACGCAUUUUCUGGAUUUGUUUCUACAGGAACUCCACCAGCCAAAAAAUAUAUGUAGUGACAUUAACGCUAUGCCAUCUAAUUGCUGCUGCUGUACUCCUAAUAUGCAGAACUAGCGCCUUAUGGUGAAGUAUAGCCAGGUUGCAAGCCCAGCUUCAGACGCAAUCGGCAAUUUAUGUGUAGGAAAGGAUGAAACAGCGACUGUGCCACCAGUAAGUACAGAUAGCAGUAUAACCCCCGCCCCCAUCACAGUCCCCGCCGCCGGACAAUUUUCUCAAGGCAUCUGAAAAGAAAUGCUGUUGGCAUACUCAACCGGUGUCGCUCAUUCAGCCAUCAGCAACUUUCAGCCGUCCUCCCCAUUAAGCAUCGAGUCGGUGUCAGAGACCGAGCCUUCUCAGGUCUCUACCCGUUACGGGGUCUGAGCAGCCGAAGCCUCCCAUCAUUAGCUCUGACAAAUUGAAAACCCUAUUCAUUGGUGACUCUAUAACCCGCAAUAUUAGACUUAAAAAGAAUCAUCCAGCGAUCAUACACUGUUUACCAGGGGGCAGGGCUACCGAAGUAAAGGCUAAUCUGAAGAUGGUGCUGGCUAAGCAUAAAACUGGUGACUGUAGAAAGUACAGUGCCUUGCGAAAGUAUUCGGCCCCCUUGAACUCUGCGACCUUUUGCCACAUUUCAGGCUUCAAACAUAAAGAUAUAAAACUGUAUUUUUUUGUGAAGAAUCAACAACAAGUGGGACACA
ensembl:lncRNA